CACUGUGUGGGGGUUAAGUCUUCAACAUACGAAUUUUGGGGACACACACACAGUUAAAUUCACAGGACAAGAUAAUAUAAUGAAAGGAAUUCCAAUGAUGGUUUGAACAUCUAUAAUUAUUCAGAAUUUCCACUUCCCUUGAUGACAACAACAGAUAUGGAUACUAUCUAGUAAGAGGAACACAGAAAGCCACACCUCAGAAAAGUCUUCUUCACUGCAGCGAUCACAAGGAAGGCUUUAGUGGAGUCUCUCACAUGUGCAUUGCCAUCACCUUCUAUCAUAAAAAGAAGAUGUCUGAUAUUAUUUCUACAAACAUAAUAUGUCAUGCUUGCAAAAUUCACAUUAUAAAUGUCUGCUUAAAGGUGUGCCAACAUCUUGUUUAAUAUUUCUAUGAAAGAACAGAAAGAAGGAGAUGCACCUUGAAUCUGCCUCAAGUGAAUCUUGGAGUUUUGAUUUCACAUUAUUGCUGCCAAUCAUUUCUGCUCCAGAGAAAACUAUUAAAGGAGUUGGAAAAAUCCCACUGUUGAAGCUUUCUAUGCUUAUAGUCAAACUUUCUAUUUUGACUCUUCCUAAAAGACAAAUAUUUGAAACAGAGGAACCUUGCAAG